UGGGGAAUAUUGCGCAAUGGGGGCAACCCUGACGCAGCCAUGCCGCGUGAAUGAAGAAGGCCUUCGGGUUGUAAAGUUCUUUCGGUAGCGAGGAAGGCACUUAGUUUAAUAAACUAAGUGAUUGACGUUAACUACAGAAGAAGCACCGGCUAACUCCGUGCCAGCAGCCGCGGUAAUACGGAGGGUGCGAGCGUUAAUCGGAAUAACUGGGCGUAAAGGGCACGCAGGCGGUGACUUAAGUGAGGUGUGAAAGCCCCGGGCUUAACCUGGGAAUUGCAUUUCAUACUGGGUCGCUAGAGUACUUUAGGGAGGGGUAGAAUUCCACGUGUAGCGGUGAAAUGCGUAGAGAUGUGGAGGAAUACCGGUGGCGAAGGCGGCCCCCUGGACAAAGACUGACGCUCAGGUGCGAAAGCGUGGGGAGCAAACAGGAUUAGAUACCCUGGUAGUCCACGCUGUAAACGAUGUCGAUUUGGAGGUUGUGCCCUUGAGGCGUGGCUUCCGGAGCUAACGCGUUAAAUCGACCGCCUGGGGAGUACGGCCGCAAGGUUA
rnacentral:rRNA from 1 species